GCUGGGCGCGCUGGUGCACACCUGUAAUCCCAGCAGCUCAGGAGGCUGAGGCAGGAGGAUUGAGAAGUCAAAGCCAGCCUCAGCAAAAGUGAGGUGCUAAACAACUUAGUGAGACUCUGUCUCUA
rnacentral:sRNA from 1 species